ACGGGUAUCGUACAACGGUUAGUAUAGAGGUCUCCAAAACCUUCGAUCUGGGUUCGAAUCCUAGUACCCGUGCUA
rnacentral:tRNA from 2 species